UACGUAGGUGGCAAGCGUUGUCCGGAUUUACUGGGCGUAAAGAGCGCGCAGGCGGUCGUUCAAGUCGCGUGUGAAAGCCCCCGGCUCAACUGGGGAGGGUCACGCGAUACUGAUCGACUCGAAGGCAGGAGAGAGAAGUGGAAUUCCCGGUGUAGUGGUGAAAUGCGCAGAUAUCGGGAGGAACACCGAUGGCGAAGGCAGGUCUCUGGGCUGACACUGACGCUCAUGCACGAAAGCGUGGGGAGCAAACAGG
rnacentral:rRNA from 1 species